CUGGACGUUGCGUUCUGUGGUUGCACCGGUUGCACUUGGUAGGGGCAUGGGUAAACUGGCUGUACGUACGUACGUACCUGAACAGUGUUAAAUAGCUCAUUCAUUGAAAACAUUUCCAGUACCUGCGCAACCGCGAUGUGCUAAAACUCGGUGCUACCAACUGUCGUGGUCAAACCCAUCUACUGCCUCCUUUGUUCUUCAUCGUAUACAGGUAAAGGAACCCGACCGCAUAAUACCGUGCUUGAUUGGCAGUGAUGUCUUAUCAUCAUCGUCGUCUUGUUUUUGCACGUGUUGCCCUCGCAGAUGUUUUGGUUUUGUAGUUGCGAGCGGGGGGCACCGACGAAUCACGACUUUGACGGUUCGUCCUUGGGAGUUCCUUCCGCGUCACCUAGUACUACAGGAAACAAAACAAAUGAAAGAACGUUUGCGAUUCUCCGUCCCAGUGCAUAUUGUGUGGUGCUAACGAUGAGGCUCCGAACACGGGGAAAUGCCUACUCCUUCGUGUAGCGGGCUGACUGCGCUGUGGCCGCACGUCCCAGCCUUGCAGGACGUCGCUUCAGGACGCUCUUGACAACUAGCGCAGCUAAAGCGGGUGAUCAUCUGUUGUGUUGUUGAUGAGCUCGUCGCCCGAACUGCUCUAUGAAGAGCGGUAAUUUGUGCCAUGGUGCCAACGAACGUCUCGGAGCCUCGCGGGAUGUCUUGCCCGUCGUCGCCUUUGAUGCCGGCUGAGGACGGUUGCAGAUCCCCUGAUGAGCAUGGAGCGCAGCCAACCUUGCAGCCACCACCACAGUGGUGGUGACUGCCUGCGCCGACACUGGAUGUUCUAGAGCUUCUACCAAGGGCCACAAUAUCGCAGCAGGUAUUGCCAGUGAUGGUGCAGAAGGGCCAGGUGUUCCACUUACCCCUGUCCCGCCUCGUAUCUUGCCGUCUGUUGGGUGCAGUGGCUACACUGCUGGAGCAAAUUGUCCUAAUUUUUCUGGUUGUGUUCAAAAGAGUGGAGAAGGAGCUGUUGCCGCUGGCAGAGUCCCUCUGCCGGGACCCUGAUCCGGACUUUCGG